CCUACGGGGGGCUGCAGUGAGGAAUAUUGGUCAAUGGUCGGGAGACUGAACCAGCCAAGCCGCGUGAGGGAUGAAGGUACAGAGUAUCGUAAACCUCUUUUGUCAGGGAACAAAGGCGGGGACGUGUCCCCGGAUGAGUGUAUCUGAAGAAAAAGCAUCGGCUAACUCCGUGCCAGCAGCCGCGGUAAUACGCAGGAUGCGAGCGUUAUCCGGAUUUAUUGGGUUUAAGGGGUGCGCAGGCGGUCUGUUAAGUCAGCGGUAAAAGGCCGGGGCUCAACCCCGGCCCGCCGUUGAAACUGGCGGUCUCGAGUUGGAGAGAGGUAUGCGGAAUGCACGGUGUAGCGGUGAAAUGCAUAGAUAUCGCGCAGAACUCCGAUUGCGAAGGCAGCUUGCCGGCU
rnacentral:rRNA from 1 species